UUCUCGAUUCCAACAACCAACAUGUUCUGUCAUUUAUCUAUUCUACGUUUGUUACUCACUGUAUCCCCAAUUUGUACAUAUUUCCUCUGCAAGCAUGCUUCAUUCGUCAUCUUUAAAAGCCUAUGUUACUAUCUGUUCUCAUCCAUUUUGCGCUUCCAAUGAACUUCAGACAAACAAUGCAAAGUACAAAGUGAUUGCCAACAAAAGCUUUUCUAGAUGACCACCAACAAAACCAUCCAUUUCAACCCCAAAACACAACAAAAAAAUCCUCGCCGCUGCCAAUCGCCAUCGAUAGCCGUUCGGCGUUGUGUUUUCCCAGUACGGGUCAUAGAGAAAAAACAAGGGCAAUAGAUUUGAGGGAAUGGAGGUUGAUCUGAAGACCAAAUUUUGCACCACCUGGUCCCGCAACUUCCUCAACUAGAAGGUAUGGAACCCUCUCCCCUGUAUUCCAACCAGCACCGCAAGUGGAUCACCGAGCAAACCCACGCCCAACACCGGCACCGCGCCGAAGUGUUCCUUGAAGCUUAAAAAUCCAAGGGCAUAACAGAAGACAGAAAAGUCUCUGUUAAACAACAAACAGGCAAAUAUUGUAUCAAACGUCGAUGAGGUUGACGGGGAGGAGUCAUCGAGGCUGAAGUUCAUGUUCCCGUUUUGUGCAGAGGAUUACGAUGUCGUUGGAAUCUGUUGUCAUAUCGAUGAGGAGCAUGCGGUGGAAGUGAAAAAUGGGGAAUUAGGUAGGCAAGUGCCACUGAUGGAUAAAACAGAUGACAAGGAAGAAACUCUUUUCUCAAUGACAUGCGGUCUGUCUUUCAAAGGGGAUAUAGAUGGAAAAUACUACAGAAAAUUGAGGCAACAAUUUCUCACCAAUUACGAGUGUGUGAAGCCCCUCAUUCAUUGAAAGAGGGAGUAGUGUAAGGUUUCUUCCUUUAACAAAUCUUAUUGUUGAAAGCCUUUCACCGCCGCCGCUAACCGCCGCCAACAACCAUCAGCUAAUGCCACCUCCGGCGCCAACAGCCAACGUCGCCUUCACCAACCACCAGGUACCACCACUGUUUAGAAUUUGAGUUUGGGUUUGAAUCAACAUCAAAUUUUGAUUAUUUUAUGUCACAUUUGAGUAGAACUCAAAUUUGAGUUGAGUUUGAGUAAACGUGGGAAGAACUGAAACAAAAACAUGUAGACAACAAUUGGAAC